rnacentral:rRNA from 1 species
CCUUUCCACGGUUUCCGUGUCGUAGCUAACGCAUUAAGCGCCCCGCCUGGGGAGUACGGCCGCAAGGCUAAAACUCAAAGGAAUUGACGGGGGCCCGCACAAGCGGCGGAGCAUGCGGAUUAAUUCGAUGCAACGCGAAGAACCUUACCAAGGCUUGACAUAUACGAGAACGGGCCAGAAAUGGUCAACUCUUUGGACACUCGUAUACAGGUGGUGCAUGGUUGUCGUCAGCUCGUGUCGUGAGAUGUUGGGUUAAGUCCCGCAACGAGCGCAACCCUCGUCGCAUGUUGCCAGCACGUUAUGGUGGGGACUCAUGUGAGACUGCCGGGGUCAACUCGGAGGAAGGUGGGGAUGACGUCAAAUCAUCAUGCCCCUUAUGUCUUGGGCUUCACGCAUGCUACAAUGGCCGGUACAAAGGGCUGCGAUGUCGUAAGGCGGAGCGAAUCCCAAAAAGCCGGUCUCAGUUCGGAUUGAGGUCUGCAACUCGACCUCAUGAAGUCGGAGUCGCUAGUAAUCGCAGAUCAGCAACGCUGCGGUGAAUACGUUCCCGGGCCUUGUACACACCGCCCGUCAAGUCAUGAAAGUCGGUAACACCCGAAGCCGGUGGCCUAACCCUGGU